AAAUUCUGCAGUUUAUUUCAUGCAACGUCUUAACAACUUUUGUGUUUAUUCCUAUAUAUUUUAUGAUUUCGGAUUUUUUUUUUUAAGUCUCUGUUGCCCAGUCUGGAGUGCAGUGGUGCUAUCUCAGCUGACUGCAACCUCUGCCUCCCGGGUUCAAGUGAUUCUCAUACCUCAGCUUCUGGAGUAGCUGGGAUUACAGGUGCGCACCACCAUGCCUGGCUAAUUUUUGUAUUUUUAGUAGAGACAGUGUUUUGCCAUGUUGGCCAGGCUGCCUUGGCCUCCCAAAGUGCUGGGAUUACAGGUGUGAGCCACCGUGCCCGGCUCAGUUGUUACGGUGAAUGGGAUUCCCCAUCUUAUGCAUAAAUUACUGCAGAGACCAGUUACUUCCUAAGGUAGAUUAGGUUUGAAAAUAGAAAUAUAGAUCCAACAACUACUCAAUGUUUGCUAUUUGCUUGUUGAGAAUCCUUACAGCCUGGCAAUUCCAGGGUUAUAGAAAUCUGGCCCACAUUCAGAUAUAAUUGAAUUGUCUUUACAGUGUUGACCUGUAGGUGUCACUGUUGGUCAAAGCAAUCAUCUGUUUAGCAGGGAAGUGAGUUGUGUUGACUUUGUAUCCAGGAGGUCACCAUGGAAAAGUUUUUGCAGUCAACAGACAAUGCCCCACAUUUAUGAGCUGCUUUACUUUCCAGCACCAUUGGUAACUUGCCUUUCCUACUGCCUAUAAUUGCAGGUUUGUAUCUUUUAAGUUAAAAAUGUGGCUGGACGUAAUGGCUUAUCCCUGUAAUCCCAACAUUUGGGGAGGCUGAGGAGGGAGGGUUGCUUGAGCCCAGAAAUUUGAGACAAGCCUAGGCAACAUAGUGAGACCCUGUCCUAACAAAACAAAACUUUUUUUAAAAAAAUUUUCCAUCCAUUCUUCUUUCCCUGCAGUGAGCAUAUGUGUGAGGUUAUUCCAUUUUGAAUAACUCCAUGGGUCAUUCGUUUUAUUUACACUUAAAUGAUGCUUACUGUGUUCCAGGCACUUUUAAAAGCACUUGGCAAAUAUAAACCCAUGGAAUUCUCAUAACCCUAGGAAAUAGAUACUAUUAUGAUCUUCACUUUAUUGAUUUGGAAACUGAGGCACAGAGAGGUUGAGUAACUUUCCCCAAGUCACACAGCUGAUAAAUGAUGGGGCUGAGAUUUGAAUCCAAGUAGCCUGGCCUCAUAGUAUUCUUGUGAAUGUGAAUAGUGUCCCUGAAAUAGCAGAGUUCUUAUUUGCUCACCUUCCCUGUCUGACUCUUAAUUGUUGACUUUUCCUUUUUUUUGCAGUGUCUUUUAUUGUGACAUAAUCGUAACUUAAAGAAAAGUUGCAAGUACAUAGAACUUUUCCCCCUAAAUUAUUUGAGAAUGUUGUUGAUCUGAUGCCCUGUUACUCCCAAAUGCUUUAGUGUAUAUUUCCCACAGACAAGGACAUUUUCCUGCAUAACUACAUUACAACCAUCAAAAUCAGAAAAUUAGGAUUGAUGUGUGUAUUAGUCUGUUCUCACAGUGCUAUAAAGAACUACCUGAGACUGAGUAAUUUAUGAGAAAAGAGGUUUAAUUGACUCACAGUUCCACAGGCUGUACGGGAGGUGUGGCUGGGGAGGCCUCACGAAACUUAUCAUGGCGGAAGGCGAAGGGAAGCAGGCAUGGUCUUCACGUGGUCGGAGCCGGAGGAAGAAAGUGAGGGGGGAAGAGCUACACACUUUUUUUUUUUUUUUUUUUUUUUGAGACGGAGUCUCGCUCUGUCCUCCAGGAUGGAGUCCAGUGGCGUGAUCUCCGCUCAGUGGUGCGAUCUCUGCUCACUGCAAGCUCCGCCUCCCCUCCCGGGUUCACGCCAUUGUCCUGCCUCAGCUUCCCAAGUAGCUGGGACUACAGACGCGUGCCACCAUGCCCGGCUAAUUUUUUUGUACUUUUAGUAGAGACGAGGUUUCACCGUGUUAGCCACGAUGGUCUGGAUCUCUGACCUCGUGAUCCACCCACCUUGGCCUCCCAAAGUGCUGGGAUUACAGGCGUGAGCCACCGCGCCCGGCCGCGCUACACACUUUUAAACCACCAGGUCUCUUGAGAACUCUAUCACAAGACAGCACUAUGGGGAUGGCGCUAAACCAUUAGAAACCACCCAUAUGAUCCAAUCAGCUUCCACCAGGCUCCACCUCCAACAAUGGGGAUCACAAUAUGUAAGAUUCGGGUGGAGACACAUAGCCGAAUCCUAUCAACGUGUUACUAAUAUCUAAUCCUCAGAUCCCGUUCAACUUUUGCCCCUUGUAUGUUGUCAUAUCUCUUUAGUCUCUUUUAGUCUUCUCUUGACUUUCAUGCUUUUGAAAUUACACGCCACUUAUUUCAUAGAUCAUCCCUCGACUUGACGUUUCCUCAUAAUGUAAUUCAGGUUGUGCAUCUUAAGCCCUACACUCACAGAGAAACACCGUAUUCUCACCUGCAUCCUACCAGGCAGUGUGUGAUGUCAUUUCCGUUUGCCCAUACCAAUGAUAUUAACUUUGAUUCUUGAUUAAGGUGGUGUCUGCCAGCGUUCUCCCCUGUGAAACAUCUCUUUUACCCUUUGUAAAUUAAUAGGUCUUUGUGAGGGGAGAUACUUUGAAACUAUGAACCUGUCCUGCUCUCCAUCAAACUUUCCAUUGAUUCACUUAUUUAUAUUUGUAUGUACUUAAAUUUUUCUAUUUUAUCCAAUGAGUUAUAAUCCAUUUAUUACAUUACUUACUUUGAUGCUCGAACUAAAUUUUUAUAUCCCUGAUUUGGCCAGCAGGACUCCCUUCAAGCUGGCUUCACUGUCCUUUCAACACGUUCCUGUCCUUCUCUGAGCACUUCCUUUCUUUUUGGCACAAGAUGUUCCAGGUUCAGUUUGUACUUUUCCUGCCCAAGCCCUAGAAUCAGCCGUUUCUUCAAGGAUCCCAGGUCUUUUUUGGUAAAGCAUCAUGUUUAUAAGCCAGAGUCUAGUGUAGGGAUGCCUGUUGAUGUGGGCAUGUCACUGCUCCCAGGCCCUUGCAGCUGGCAGACAUUUACAUCUACAUUUAUUUAUAAAUCUGUUUAUAUGGACAAGUGUGAGUUUACAUAAAACUUCCGAAUCCUAUCCAACACCACAGCGUUCCUUUUUAGUUUUCCCUUUCACUAUCUGCAACUCUUGUCUCUGAUGAGAAACCUGCCUCACUACCCUUGAUGCAUUUUUUUGUAGAUCACUCCUUGUGUAUCACUUAUCUCCCAUCUCAUGAGGACGCCCUCCCCACCUCUCUCCGGUUCUGAUGGUGCUGGACUUGUCCUUACAUGAGUGCCCUCAUCACCUAGUUGAGGCUCUGACACCCAUGUACAGCUCCUCUACGUGGAGGCACUCUUCUCACCCAUCUAAUGGCUUCAGGACUGAAUUGUUUGGGAAGAGAAGAGGUAGAGAAAGAAGAACUGAUCUUUCCUUAAAUGCAGAAUUUUGAGUCAGAAUCAAAAUAGUACUUGACUGCCCCAUGCUUGCUCUGGGGCAGAAAGGAGAGAUGCCUGGACUUAAGCUGGAAGAGUGGAAUAGGAGGAGUGGGCACAGGUCCCGGAGGUAGAGCACCUGCAUUCCAGGCACAGCUCUGUUUCUAAGGGGCCAAAUGAUCUUAGAGAAGUAAUUUGAUCUCUUUGUGCCCCAGCUCUUCCAAUAAUGAAUUGGACCAAAUCUAAAUCAAAGACUGGUGCCCUAUGGCCAAAAUUGGUCUAAGUGCUUAUUUUGUUUGGGAGUCAACUUCCUUUCUUUCUUUCUUUUUUUUUUUUUUUUUGAGACAGGUCUCCCACUGUUGCCCAGGCUGGAGUGCAGUGUUGUGGUCAUGGCUCACUGCAGCCUUGACUGCCUGGGCUCAAGUAAUCCUCCCACUUCAACCUCUCAAGUAGCUGGUACCACAGGCGCAUGCCACCAUGCCUGGCGAAUUUUUGUAUUUCUUGUAGAGAUAGGGUUUUGCCAUGUUUCCUAGGCUGCUCUCAAAAUCCUGAGCUCAAGCAAUCCACCCGCCUCAGCCUCCCAAUGUGCUGGGAGUGAUACAGAGAGGAGGCAGGGAGAUACUGCGUAGAAGAGGGUGGUUCCCUGGCAAAGUCCCCACCCUGAAGCUUGGAAACCCACGGCCCUAAAUGGGAAGAAGCAUUCCUGUUUUUGUGCCCAAAUGUUGCUUUUUGGCCCACCAUGCCCCCCAUCCUGUACCCAUAUAAAUCCCAAACCUCAGGCUCCACGAGCAGAAGAGCAGAGGAGCAUAAGAGCAGUGCAGCAGAGAAGGAGAGAAGGGAAGGAGCAUCUGAAUGUUGAGAGGAGUUUGCCUGGGGAUGAUAGGAGAGGAGAUUGGCUGUGGGUCUGCCUAACUCCAGGGGAAGAUCAUCUUCCCACUCCAUCCCCUCGCCAGGUCCCCAUCCAUCCCGCUGAGAGCCACCUCCAUCUGGCAAUAAAAUCCCCCUCAUUUACCAUCCUUCAAUUUGUCCGUGUGACCUGAUUCUUCCUGGAUGCCGGACAAGGACCCGGAGAGGGCACUGAGCUAGUUAACACUUAAGCCAUCUGUGACGGCAGAGCUAAAAAAGUACUGUAAUAUGCCCACUGGGGCUUCAGAAGUUACAGGCACCCACCCCUAGAUGCUACUGUGGGGUCAGAGCCCAGAAGCGCUUGCCCCAGCUCCUGCGUGCUCCCCCUCCUCUAAGGGGUUUGAGUGCACAGUGGCCGAACAGAUGAGCCACAUUCGGUCACACGUCUCUGAGGGGGGUCAGGGAACUCUCCCAUUUCAGGAUUAUAGGCGUUAGCCACUGCACCAGGCCAGGAGACAACUUUCAAAAAAAUCAAAUUUAAGUUUCUUUAGUUGGAGGCUGUGCACUCCAAUUAGCCCUAGAUGGGUGACAGCUCAGACCAUCUUUCCCAACUUUAUACAUUUCUCUCUCCAGGCUAAGUUACAUUUCAAGCCUCUUCUAGCUCAGCAUGGCCUCUUCUCCAUUUGCUAUGCUCUGGCUCAGCAGAUUCUUAAUCUAUGGCACCAGGCCUGUCAAGAGACCUGCAUUUGAUUCCCAACUUUUAGCCAGGAAACACUGGGAACACCACAUCUGAGUGUGUUGCUGCUGCUGGCUUGGGUGGCCAGGUUUUAUUCCCUCAUUUGGCCCUGCCCACAUCCUGCUGAUUGGUCCAUUUUACAGAGUGCUGAUUGGUCCAUUUUAGAGUGCUGAUUAGUCCAUUUACAAUCCUUUAGCUAGACACAGAACACUGAUUGGUGAAUUUACAAUCCUCUAGCUAGAGAGAAAAGUUCUCUAAGUCCCCACUCCACCCAGGAAGUACAGCUGGCUUCAUCUCUCAGUGUUAUUGAUGGAAGCGCUUAGAGCUCCCUGCUUUCUGUGUGGAGCUGGUCUAGGCCUGGACCAUCCUUGGGGCACUCAUUUAAUUAAGCGAGGCUCAGAGGUCUGGACUGAUGGGUCACCCUGAUUCAAAGAGUAUUUCUUCAGUAAACAGGGUCUAGGGGAAACCACAUAGUCUGGGGGCUAGGGCCCCGUUUGGCAGGUCCAGGGAUUGAGCAAGAAUGAGCAGAGAAAGGAGACGGGGCUGUGUCUUGAGUCUAUAGGCUGGGUCACUGGAGGUAUGGUAGGAUCUCUAGAGCUGCCUCUAAUGACAGCGGAGUCUCUUCAAGAAACUUUUGAAAGGGACCAAAUUCUUUUUCUGAUUACCUUUCUAGCUUCUCUGGCUGAGCCCCUAUGCAUUGGAUUGACAUAGACAGAUUAACAAAAGAAAACAAUCAGAAUUUUAUUAGUAUGUGCACUGCAAUUACAUGCGGGAACACUCAGAGAUGAAUAAACUCAAAGGUUUGGUUGGAACAUGGGCUUAUAGCAUUUUAGCAAAGGACCAAUACAUUUUUUUUUCUUUUUUUUGAGACAGAGUUUCACUCUUGUUGUCCAGGCUGGAGUGCAAUGGCACAAUCUCAGCUCACCACAACCUCUGCCUCCCGGGUUCAAGCCAUUCUGCUGCUUCAGCCUCCCGAGUAGCUGGGAUUACAGGUGUGUGCCACCUCACCCGGCUAAGUUUUGUAUUGUUGGUAGAGACGGGGUUUCAUAAUGUUGGCCAGGCUGGUCUUGAACUCCUGACCUCAGGUGAUCUGCCUGCCUCGGCCACCCAAAGUGCUAGGAUUACGGGCGUGAUCUUCUCAAUUGCCUUCAGCUCAAAAUAAUCCUUAUGUCAAAGUGUCAUAUUUUGAGGUGGCAUAUUCUGCCAGCCGACAGACCCAAGAACCUUGGCUAGAAUGGAUUGGUCUUGGAUUGCAGUGAGUUGAACCCCUGUACAGAAGUGUAGAAGAAGGAAACAUCUUCUAGUUGAGUUUUAGCUUCUGUCUGUUUUGAGCUGGUGAACUCAAAUUGUUCACUGAAUAUUUAAAUUCUUUGACUUUCACCUGUGAAAAUCUCCUGAAUGAAAUGAGAUAUUUGAUCCUAUUUAGUGGGUCACUGAACAUGCUUCUAACAUGAAAACAUUCAGCUUUGAGCUAGGAAGGUGAGCUGUGCUCACAAUCUCAAACAGGGUAGGGGAGAGAAGAUUUACAUGUUCUGUGCCCUGUGCCCUUUCUUGGGGCCUAGAGGACACAUUGACUUAUCUUUUCUGGGGAUAGUAUAAAGGAACAUCAACUUGCUCCUAUUUUGUGCUGGAGAAGCUUAGAGAAUCAGAUGCUAGUUUUAUACUACAUCCCUCAGUAUUAAAAGCUUUAAUUUAAAAAAGAAAAAAUAACAGCUGGGCACAGUGGCUUAUGCUUGUAAUCCCAACACUUUGGGAGGCUGAUGUGGGAGGAUCGCUUGAGGUCAGGAGUUGGCGACUAGCUUGGGCAACAUAGCAAGACCCUGAAUCUACAAAAAGUAAACAAAUUAGCCAGACGUGGUGGUGCGUGCCUGUAGUCCCAGCUACUUGGGAGGCUGAGGCGGGAGGAUCCUUGAGCUCAGGAAUUCAAGGUUGCAGUGAGCUAUGAUUGUACCAUUGCACUCCAGCCUGGGUGACAGAGUGAGAUGCUAUCUCUGAAAAUAAGUGAAUAAAUAGAUAAAAAUAAAAAAGGAAAAAAGUUCAUCUUUGGCCAAAUGUCAACAAAGAAAAUAAAAGGAGAAAAAAAGAAUUAACGAUUCAUUGAAAAUUUUUUUUCCUUCCUUGAAGAAACAAUUUGUUCCAACCUAAAAAAUUAUGCAAAAUCAUUGUAAUGUUUCCCCGGUGCUUUAAAUCCAGAUUUCAGGUGCCCCAAAGAGAGAGAUCAAGUGAUUUUAACCACCUGAAAUGAAAAAAAAAAAAAAAAAAAAAAGAGGCCGGGCACAGUGGCUCACGCCUAUAAUCCCAGCACUUUGAGAGGCCGAGGUGGGUGGAUCACCUGAGGUCAGGAGUUCUAGACCAGCUGGCCAACAUAGUGAAACCCCGUCUCUACUAAAAAUGCUAAAACAAAAAUUAGCCGGGUGUGGUGGUGCACAUCUGUCUGAGGCCCAAGAAUCGCUUGAACCUGGGAUAUGGCAGUGAGCUGAGAUCACACACUGCACUCCAGCCUGGGAGACAGAGUGAGACUCCGUCUCAAAGAAAACAAAAAAGAUAAAUAAAAAGCAUCAGACAAUUUUCUAUAGCUUCUAGACCAUAGAACCUGCAGCAAUAACUCAAUGAGUUUUUAUUCUCAUGUUUGCCCUGUGCAAGGAGCAGACCAAGAGAAGGGAUUUGCCUGCCCUUGACUUUCUCUGCCAUCCACCCCAGCUGCCAGAUGCAGCGCACCCUGAUUUUUUCAUGUCUGUUUCACUCACUCAGUGGACGCUCUGUGAGGGCAGGACCUUGUCUAGUUUGUUCACGCUCUCUUGCUUUCCUGUGUUCAUUGAGCAAGAUGCCUGGCAUAUAGUGUGAAAUUAGUUAACAUUUGUGAAGAAGCAAAUAAAUGGAUGAAUUUGUGGAGAAAUUCUCAUGAAGCACAGACAGUCAUGAAGUUGGGAACUUAUCAAUCUAGUUGGAGCCAUGGGACAUUAAAAUAAUGUUUUCUCCUCAGUGCCCCUGGACCUUGAACUAGUAGGAAGCAAAAAGCAGAGGUUUCCAUUGAGUUGGGCUAUUUGGGGAACUUCCAUUGACUUGGACAAUGGAGGUUCAGCUAUCCAUCAAACUAUUUGCAGAGUCCAAAUUUUUAUGCUUCCCACUGAACCCCCAAGUCAAAAAAACCAUAAAUUAUGUUGUACCAUAUCAAAUUGUCAUUUUAAAAAAAGUUUAAAAAUAAUCAAAUAUUGGCAGUUUUAUUUGGUUCAAAGUAUAGAUGAGUUUUCAAUUUUCAUGAUUUUUUGAAGAGUUAACUUCUAAAAAUAGCAAGCAAGAAUAUUACCAGUAACAAAAUGUUAAAUAUAGAGCAAUAGUUGAAAAUUGAUAUUUAAAAAAUAAUUUAUAUAUAAGAACACUAAGGCUUGGAGAGUUUAGACUGUUUGCCCACAUGCACACAGCUGGGAGCUGGAAGGGUCAUAAUGAGAACCUGGAUCUGGCUGAACCUGAAACCCAGGCUGGAGUGCAGUUGUGUGAUCAUGGCUCACUCCAGCCUUGACCUCUCAGGCUCAAGUGAUUCUCCUGUCUCAGCCUCCAGAGUAGCUGAGACAACUACAGGCCUGUGCCAACACACCCAGCUAAUGUGUUUUUAUUUUUUGUAGAGAUGAGAUCUCACUAUGUUGCCCGGGCUGAUCUUAAACUCCUGGGCUCAAGUGAGCCUCAAGCCUUGGCCACCCAAAGGGCUAGGAUUAUAGGCGUGAGCCACGGUGCCCAGCCUCAGCAUGUUGUUAACAUUAACAACCAUCUUAUCUUAUUUUCUUGUUAUGAAACAGGGCAUUUGAAAAAAACCUAGAAAAUAUAGGUAGGCAAAAGAAAAAUUUGGAGAAUAAGCAGAUAUCAGUUUUUGCCCUCAGUCUAGAGAAGGGGGAAGUCAAUAAACAAGUAAAUCAGCAAAUAUAUUGACCACAAAUUGAGAUAUUUGAAACAAAAUGCCAUUAAAAAGAGAAAAGACUUUUAGAAUAUAGAAUAAUGGGGUCAGGGAGGUGUGGGGGAAUAUCCUAACUUAAGGAGGUCAGCAAAGCCCUUGUUGAGGAGAUGACAAGAUGACAUUUCAGCUGAGAUGAGAAUGGAAGGAGUGAUGCAAGCAGCUGAGUGUCCAGGCAAGGGUCAGUCAGGGCAGUGUAAAGGAUUAGAAUGUACCAUCUCAAAAUAUGCUGCUUUGGCAUAUUCAUUAUUUUCAGAUGAAGGCAGUUGAGAAACAGCAUAUGCAGGAAGGGCUCUCUGCCCUCCCCUUUUCUACCUAAAAGCAGAGCAUAAAUUUCCCAUAAGUACCCUCCCUGUACCAGGAAGAAGAGUAGAACAUUCUUAUCAUUGGAGAUGGAGAGUUGAUACUGAGAUGAAUCUAUAAAAACAAAUCUUACUAAAAUAACUUAUAUCUUCCAUUAGUUUCUUUAUAUAUUUUAUAGUCACUUUUCCACAAUUCACUACCCCUAGCCCAAGCCUUUUUUUCCUUUGUCUUGCCACAUCUUCACAAUUUAUUGCCCUUUGUUAAAAUGGUAUGUGAGCCCCUAGGUCUAACGGUCCUUUGGAUUUUCAUUUUUUUCUAUGAAGCCUCUCAUGUUAUAUAAAAAUAUUAAUUAAUAUCAAAUAAAAUGUGUAUAGUUUUCCUCCUGUUAGUCUGUUUUUUGUCCGUUCAAGCUAUCAUCUCCAGACUCAGAACCUAAGGGGGUAGAGGAAAAGCCUUUCCUCUUCUACAGCAGGAAGGAGGUUGGCAUAUUUGAUAUUCUUCCCAGGAAGAGGAAAAAGAGGAGGAAGCCAGUGGGGCUGGCUUGGAGUGAAACAGGGGAUGUGGGUGUGUGCAGGAUCCCUGCUGUUGUAGGACUUUCUCCUUAGUUCAGCUAACAACGGGGUUCUUGUCACACAACCAUGAGAGAUUAGGCUUGCAGACACUUCGAAGGUUUGAGAAAAAUUGAAUUUAUUAGGCAAAAAAGGGAAAAAACAGGAAACAGGGACUCUCAGCAAAGCAGAAGUCCUGCUAGUUGGCUUCCUGCCUCACGGACUGAAUCCCGGGUUCCACCCUGGAACAGGAGAGGCCAGGCUCCUCCCACCUGCAAAUGACAUGAACUUCCUGAGGCUCCACCCCAUCCUCCCAGUGUGCAGGCUGGUUGAAGUUUCUGCCAGGGGGCAGAAACUUUUUACUUGGC
rnacentral:lncRNA from 10 species